rnacentral:rRNA from 1 species
AGUGAACGCUGGCGGCAGGCCUAACACAUGCAAGUCGAACGGCAGCACAGCAGUAGCAAUACUGUGGGUGGCGAGUGGCGGACGGGUGAGGAAUACAUCGGAAUCUGCCUAGUCGUGGGGGAUAACGUAGGGAAACUUACGCUAAUACCGCAUACGACCUACGGGUGAAAGCGGGGGAUCGCAAGACCUCGCGCGAUUAGAUGAGCCGAUGUCCGAUUAGCUAGUUGGCGGGGUAAUGGCUCACCAAGGCGACGAUCGGUAGCUGGUCUGAGAGGAUGAUCAGCCACACUGGAACUGAGACACGGUCCAGACUCCUACGGGAGGCAGCAGUGGGGAAUAUUGGACAAUGGGCGCAAGCCUGAUCCAGCCAUGCCGCGUGGGUGAAGAAGGCCU